rnacentral:rRNA from 1 species
UACGUAGGGUGCAAGCGUUAAUCGGAAUUACUGGGCGUAAAGCGUGCGCAGGCGGUUAUGUAAGACAGAUGUGAAAUCCCCGGGCUCAACCUGGGAACUGCGUUUGUGACUGCAAGACUCGAGUGCGGCAGAGGGGGGUGGAAUUCCACGUGUAGCAGUGAAAUGCGUAGAGAUGUGGAGGAACACCGAUGGCGAAGGCAGCCCCCUGGGUCGACACUGACGCUCAUGCACGAAAGCGUGGGGAGCAAACAGG